GGGCUCUUCUCGGGGAGUGGAGUGCUAUGACAGAUGAGACUUUCAUGCAAGAAAAUAAAUCCUGCACAUUUGAUGUACUGCUUUAAACUUAAAGACCUCUUUGGACCCGAAAUUGUAAGAUCCUGAGUGGCAACUGGAAAGGAUUCGUGGUUACUUGGAUCUAGGAAAAUCCUGUUUUAUCUCUGAUGGGACUAAGACAAAGCACUCCUGUUAGUACAACCCAGCUUGCGUUCCUCCCUGCCUGCAGAGGAAGCAUUUGGAUGCUUCCCUUCCCGUUGGAAGUUGCCAGUCUCUCUUCAGAGUGAUGAGGGCAGAACUGGUCAUUACGGAAAGAGUCGGAGGAACGGUGCCACAGCAUCAGGUUCAGGCAAGUUAACCACCUGGGACGGUAAACUACCGAAGUCUGCUUCUGCUUCCAAAGGAGAACCGCAGUGAAAGUGGUGGACAUGUCCUACCAUCUGUAAGCUCAAGAUCCUCUAGAGAACUGCAGGAUUCAGGGUGCUCUACUGACAGUACCUGGGGCAGCCGGAUCAGGAAAGAGUUUGUCUAGCCACAGUUGUCCCUUGCAGACUUGUGGUUUUGUCACAAGGAGAUAAUAUUUUCAGCAAAAAAUAUAAACUUUCCCUCAAGACACAAAUUAGAAAAUAUGGUGGUGCGGUCCCUGGUGAGGAAGCCAUCCUUCCAGGCCCAGAAUUUCCUGCCCUGUCCAUUUCCAACUUAUCAUAAAUACUUUCCUGACCCCUAAAAUGCAGGACACUGAUCAACUCAGUUAAGAAGUUUUUAUUUCAAGCCUGCUGGGCUUUACAAAGGACUGCAUUUGACUCUGGGCAUGGAUUCAAAGUCCUUUUGAAUAAAUGACCUGCUUAUCUAGCUGUCAAAAUGUGGACCUCACUGGCACUCUUAACUAUAGCCCUGAUUCAAGUUUAUGUGCCAGAAACGGAACUUCUGUCUUUCAAAUUCAACAAGGUCUUCAGACCAUGGCCGCCUUGCACAAUAUGGACCAGCAGUUGCUAUUAGAGCAACUAAGGGUAUUUACGGUUUAUUCAAAUAAUGUAGUGCAAAGAAUAGGAGGUUUGAAAGCCUGGCGAGGAGUGGAAGAAUUGACUUCCAUAAAUCUAGGGCCCUAAAAAUACCUUUUUUGUUCAAGCGUUGGAAAGAAUUUUGUCGACCUUUCUGCUUCAUUGGCAUUUCUUUACGUUUUCCUGGUAACCAGAGACAAGUUGCACAAUCGGUGUGGCAUUUGGCUCCUGAUUCUGGGGGAGAGGGAGCGCUGUCUGCUUUUUCAGCAGGCCCAGCACAGUGGAGCGCGGAGCAUUCAGCACUGGGGGAGCCUGCCAGCAGCUGGCCCUGCCAAACUAAACAGGAAUCAGCGCGGACAAAGGGAAGAUUAUGUGGUGGAAAAAGGAUACCCCGAAUUAAGGCAGGAAAGCCACGUCAAUUAUAUUUGGAAGCGGUGUCUCUCCCCCGGGUUACAAAGCCGUGUCUCUAAGAUUUCUGAGGAUGUUGCUGUUUCACCGAAAGCUCACCCACAAAAGGUCAGUGGGUGGAGUUCAAACAAAA
ensembl:lncRNA novel transcript